rnacentral:lncRNA from 1 species
AACUUAAAUAUGAUUCCCCAAUCAGAGGCAACUAGUGACAGCUGUCUCUGAUUGGGAAUCGACAGAACCCAACAUAGAAAUACGCCCCAAAGCAAGGCUAUACCAAAAACAUAGAAAAUAAACUAUAGAAAUGCCACACCCUGACCAAAAUAGAAGAGUUCACCUGGUCAGGGCGUGACAUCUACCAUACCUACAACAACAACUAAAUAUCUUACUACAAUAACUGUAGCUCCUACAACCAGCACCACAACAGCUGCUAUGACAAUCAAUUCAGCUCUUACUACAACAGCUGCAGAAUCUACUAUGACAACUACAACUGCAGCUCCUAUGAUAACUGCAGCUCCUACCAAACUGCAGCUUCUAUGACAACAACUGUAGCUCCUUCAACAAUAGCUGCAUUUCCUGGGACAACCACAACAGCAGCUCCUACGACAACCACAACUGCAGCUCCUAUGACAACGACAACUGCAGCUCCUAUGACAACCACAACAGCAGUUCCUACGACAACCACAACAGCAGAUCCUACAACAACCACAACUGCAGCUCUGACGAUGACAAUAACUGCAACUUCUACAACUACCACAGCUCCUACUACAACAACCACAAUUGCUGCUCUAAUUACAACAGCUGUAGCUCCUACAACUACUACAAUGGCAGCUCCUUCAACAACCACAACUCCAGCUCCUUCAACAACCACAACAGAAGCUGCUACAAUAACCACAACUGUAGCUGCUAUGACCACCACAACAGCAGCACCCACAAUGACAACUGUAGAAGCAACCACACCACCUCCUACCCUGUUGCUGACCACUCCUUUCAAUACCACAAGUGAUGGAGGUUUUCCUGGCUAGGCUCUAGCCAUUAUCAUCCCUUGUGGCAUCGCUAUCAUUCUGGUACCCCUGUGGAUCCUGCUAUGUUGCAUUUUAUGUGGCGGAUGUGCAGCUAUAAGGAGACGCUAGCACAGACGCAGAUCUUACAAUGUACAGUACACCAGAAGAAACGGUCUCUUCUGAGAGGACCUGAGCCCUAGGACCAUGCCUCAGGACUACCUGGCAUGAUGACUCCUUGCUGUCCCCAGUCCACCUGGCCGUGCUGCUGCUCCAGUUUCAACUGUUCUGCCUGCGGCUAUGGAACCCUGACCUGUUCACCGGACGUGCUUGUUGCACCCUCGACAACUACUAUGAUUAUUAUUAUUUGACCAUGCUGGUCAUUUAUGAACAUUUUAACAUCUUGACCAUGUUCUGUUAUAAUAUCCAC